GACGAACGCUGGCGGCGUGCCUAAUACAUGCAAGUUGAGCGCUGAAGGUUGGUACUUGUACCGACUGGAUGAGCAGCGAACGGGUGAGUAACGCGUGGGGAAUCUGCCUUUGAGCGGGGGACAACAUUUGGAAACGAAUGCUAAUACCGCAUAAAAACUUUAAACACAAGUUUUAAGUUUGAAAGAUGCAAUUGCAUCACUCAAAGAUGAUCCCGCGUUGUAUUAGCUAGUUGGUGAGGUAAAGGCUCACCAAGGCGAUGAUACAUAGCCGACCUGAGAGGGUGAUCGGCCACAUUGGGACUGAGACACGGCCCAAACUCCUACGGGAGGGAGCAGUAGGGAAUCUUCGGCAAUGGACGAAAGUCUGACCGAGCAACGCCGCGUGAGUGAAGAAGGUUUUCGGAUCGUAAAACUCUGUUGGUAGAGAAGAACGUUGGUGAGAGUGGAAAGCUCAUCAAGUGACGGUAACUACCCAGAAAGGGACGGCUAACUACGUG
rnacentral:rRNA from 1 species